rnacentral:rRNA from 1 species
GACUCCAUGAAGUCGGAAUCGCUAGUAAUCGUAGAUCAGAAUGCUACGGUGAAUACGUUCCCGGGCCUUGUACACACCGCCCGUCACACCAUGGGAGUGGGUUGCAAAAGAAGUAGGUAGCUUAACCUUCGGGAGGGCGCUUACCACUUUGUGAUUCAUGACUGGGGUGAAGUCGUAACAAGGUAACCGUAGGGGAACCUGCGGUUGGAUCACCUCCUUACCUUAAAGAA